rnacentral:misc_RNA from 1 species
UGAAAAUUUGCCUGCAUAAUUUCUCAUUCACAAAGUUCAAUCUAGAACAAGUUGAAGAUGCUUCAAAAGAACCAGAUUUUUGUCUCAAGUGCAUCCUAGUUACUGCUAUCGUCAGAGCCAAAAACUAGGCAGCAUAGACUAUUCUGAUACAGGUGAGAAGAAAAAAAUAAAAAGAUCUGUAACCCAUUACUCAAAAUGGAUAACACUAAUUACUACUACUUGUUUCCAUCUGUCUCCUGAACCAUCAGUUUUUCUCCUACAAUAGAAACACUGUUAACUGAAGGAACACUAACUACAACUUUGAAGGAUCGUCUUUUGUUUGGCUAAAUCAAAGCCUCCGGAAACUGCUAUAAACAACUGUACCUGUUUCUAUUAACAGUUCACAGCAAGACUAAUUGGCUCCCUGAAUCAUUGGAAUGGCUUUCUCCUUCGGGUGCCUUCCUCUUUCGGUAUGCAUCAGUCGGCAACCCCAAAUGCAAGGUAGUAUCCGAAUCUCCUUUCUCCAUCGAGCAAUUGUAGGCUGUGUCGGGACUUGCAGAACCAUUGUUUACAAGAGAAUGCUUCCUCUCCACAGAAUAGUAUUCAUGAUAAGUUGGGACUGAAUGAUCAGUUGAUGGGAAGAAACAUCGAAGCUCCUCUACCUGUCUACGCAAAGUUUCAUUCUCCAGCAUGGCCCGCUGUUCCUGUACUCUGGAUUGCUCUAGUUGUUCCAUCAGUAAAUGCUCCUGAACGGAUAGAACUUCUAUUAAGGUUCUUGAAAUGCAAAACUACUUAACCACACCAUAUGCUACUUUUUC